rnacentral:tRNA from 1 species
AGCUCAGUAGGUAAAGCAUCUGCCUGAAAUGCAGGAGACCGGGGUUCGAUUCCUGG